rnacentral:rRNA from 1 species
AACGAACGCUGGCGGCAUGCCUAACACAUGCAAGUCGAACGAAGGCUUCGGCCUUAGUGGCGCACGGGUGCGUAACGCGUGGGAAUCUGCCCUUUGGUUCGGAAUAACAGCCGGAAACGGCUGCUAAUACCGGAUGAUGACGAAAGUCCAAAGAUUUAUCGCCAGAGGAUGAGCCCGCGUUGGAUUAGGUAGUUGGUGGGGUAAAGGCCUACCAAGCCGACGAUCCAUAGCUGGUCUGAGAGGAUGAUCAGCCACACUGGGACUGAGACACGGCCCAGACUCCUACGGGAGGCAGCAGUGGGGAAUAUUGGACAAUGGGCGCAAGCCUGAUCCAGCAAUGCCGCGUGAGUGAUGAAGGCCCUAGGGUUGUAAAGCUCUUUUACCCGGGAAGAUAAUGACUGUACCGGGAGAAUAAGCCCCGGCUAACUCCGUG